rnacentral:lncRNA from 1 species
UGGGAAUCACUCAAAUCCAAUUUCUGUGGCUUCACCAAGUGUUCCUGUCACUUGAUAAGGAGCAGCUGGGACCUCGGCUUUGCCUCUGUCAGGGAGAAGUCGGGAUGGUUCAGUGCCUCGCGAAGCUCGCUUAUCGCAUUAGACCGUUCACUCGGCUCCGCAGAUAAGACCCAGCUAAUCAGACAAGAUGCCCUCCACCUCUCCUCAGAUCCCUGCUCACCAAAUGGCCCUGCUUCCCAGAGCCUAAAGCUCUAUAGAAGUAUGGUUGAAGCUCCAGCCCACGUACAAUGAAAUGCAUGUGGCCCAUACCGUGGUAUCGCCAGGAGUCCUUUGGAGUGGAAUCAGAAAACCACUGUGAAAACAGGGGUGGAAAGAGAGGAACUGUGCACGAGGGUGCUUGGCUGAUGUCUGAAGUGCACGCGCACCCACUCUCCCAGGCGAGGCACAAAAGCAACCGCCUCCAGGCAAGCUGACUAGACCAUCAUGGCGCAUUGCUGACAUUGGAAUUACAUUAAAUUAUCACCACACGAGUGCCUUCCGCUGUUGUUUGUGUUCCAAAAUGUCCCAAUGAAUUCUAAAAGCAGCGCCAUGUUCCCUUAGAAGAAGAAAAACCUAAUGUUCUGUCCUUUAUCGGAACCCACUCAGGAAAACGAGCUCUCUGAAUGGGAGCUCUCCCUCCUUCUCUCCAGGGGACACAAGGAAACAGGGAGAAGUGAUUAAAGCUUUGGAUUAGUUCACAGGAAUGUUUCUUUUCUAUUGUUGCUUUAUCUUUACUCAAGCAGAAGUUGGCCUGAUAGAUCUCAGAUGAGAACCAAAGGGGAAGAUGUGGGGUGUGCACUGGGGUGCAGGGCAGGGGAAAUUUAAUGGUUGAUAUUUCCUGAGUGGCUCUCCAGGUGGUGAGACCGUGUUACCCUCCACUUUGUCACCUUGGUUCAUGGACAAAUGGUAUCUUUUGCUAACACAGGCAUGUGGUAACCCACAGAUUCCUAAGCUGUAUAUUACCACUGACCUUCCUUCCUCCUUCCUCCCUUCCUUCCUGAUCCUCUUCCAUCCACUUCUUUAUUCUGUAAAC